UACGGGGGGGGCAAGCGUUGUUCGGAAUUACUGGGCGUAAAGGGUUUGUAGGUGGCUUGCUAAGUCAGACGUGAAAUCCCUCAGCUUAACUGGGGAACUGCGUCUGAGACUGGCGAGCUUGAGUGCAGGAGAGGAACGCGGAAUUCCAGGUGUAGCGGUGAAAUGCGUAGAGAUCAUGAGGAAGACCAGUGGCGAAGGCGGGUCUCUGGACAGUUCCUGACACUGAGACACGAAGGCCAGGGGAGCAAACGGG
rnacentral:rRNA from 1 species